AAGGGCCUGGCGCACAUAAGGUGUGACCUUUUCAUUCCCGUUGUUAUGGAGGGCCACAUCUGCCAGAGCCUGGAGUCUGCGAAGGCCGGGACCCGGUUCCCCGGCCCACAGUGGGGGUGUGCAAACCCGAGAGAACUGGGAAGUGCCGUCAGAAGCGAUAACUGACGACGUCUAAUGUCUAUCUGACCGCAGUCGCUGAAACCUCUACAACUUAGUUGACCGUAACUGCCAGAGCCCUGCCCUGAAUUCCUGUCCUUACUCCCUCUUUAAGAUUGCGUACCCACUGCAGAGUGCUGAAGACGGGGUAGCCACGAGGUUGCAAAUUCGUGAAGAAUCAGCAUCAUGUUUGGCAGCUGAGUAUUGGAGCCAGGAGCCUGCCAUGAGGUUAUAUUCCCAGAGGAUGUCAGUCCCAAGGACCAGUAGCUGCCAUCAGUUUGGAUUCUGAAAACUAACUGGCAUCAACACUGGGUGUAGAAACAUGCUUGCCUUAUGUAUCAGAGGACAUGCUCAGCAGAUCCAAGAGAUAUAUUUGGCAACUUUUUCUAGAAAAGGCACAUUGGGUAUCAUUCAUUACAUUCUUGAGUUUUUUUGGGUUUUUUUUUUUUUUUUUGAGACAGUCUUGCUGUAUUGCCCAGGCUGGAGUGUGGUGGCACAAUCACAGCUCAUUGCAUCCUCAAUCACCCAGGCCUAAGCAAUCCUCCCACCUUGUAGCUGGGACUACAGCUCACAGCACACCUGGCUAAAAUUUUUUUUUUGUUGAGACGGAUUCUCUAUGUUGCCCAGGCUGGUCUCAGGCUCCUGGGCUCAGAUGGUCCUCCUGCCUCAGCUUCCAAAGGCACAGGCCAAGUUGUAGCUUUGUCCCUUGCCAUCAUGCCCAACAAGAGGUUCUAUACCUUUUAAUGAAUUGACUUUCAUAAAUUGGUUAUGUUGGUGGGCAAAGUUCUUUAAGCUGGAAAUUGUAAAUUCCUCCUGAAAUGUUUUUUCAUGCAGUUACCAUGAACUAAUACUACAAUAAAGGAUGGUCUUGGGUGUCAA
rnacentral:lncRNA from 1 species